rnacentral:rRNA from 1 species
AUUGAACGCUGGCGGAAUGCUUUACACAUGCAAGUCGAACGGUAGAGGGGGCAACCCCUCGAGAGUGGCGAACGGGUGAGUAAUAUAUCGGAACGUGCCCAGCCGUGGGGGAUAACGUAGCGAAAGUUACGCUAAUACCGCAUACGAUCUAUGGAUGAAAGCGGGGGACCGUAAGGCCUCGCGCGAUUGGAGCGGCCGAUGUCAGAUUAGGUAGUUGGUGGGGUAAAGGCUCACCAAGCCAACGAUCUGCAGCUGGUCUGAGAGGACGACCAGCCACACUGGGACUGAGACACGGCCCAGACUCCUACGGGAGGCAGCAGUGGGGAAUUUUGGACAAUGGGCGCAAGCCUGAUCCAGCAAUGCCGCGUGCAGGAAGAAGGCCUUCGGGUUGUAAACUGCUUUUGUACGGAACGAAACGGCUCUGGUUAAUACCUGGGGCUAAUGACGGUACCGUAAGAAUAAGCACCGGCUAACUACGUGCCAGCCGCCGCGGUAAAAC